GGCUCAGGGUCUGUCCCCAGGGUGUGAGUGAUGCUUGUUGCUUUGGGGUGAUGCCUGGUGGCUGGGAAAACCCCGCGCUUUGCUCCUGUGCAGGCUGCUGGGGGCAGGGAGGUCGGUGCAGCAGGGCAGGCGACAUGGUCAGCACCCAAUGUGGGCCAUGUGGGGACAGGGAGGAACCAUGGACAUGAGGGUGACCCCACUUUUCUCCAGUGAUGUGCCCUGCCUUAUGCUGCUCUUUUGCCCGUCCCUAAGCUUGCACAGGUGUGAGCUUGUGCUCGUGCUCACUGCGGGUCCCUGCUGUCACAGCGACCCCACACACCCCCCUUGCCGUUCCCCGACCUCUUCCCUUGCUGGCCAGAAGAGCGGUCACAGACCCGGCUCCCACCCUCCCUUUCCCCCAGUUGUGCUUAAUUCAAUUUGCUUCUCCCUGAACGGCUUCCCAUAGUUUGACCAUUAACAAAUGGAUUUGGCCAGAGGCCCCGGGGACCAUUUGCAUGAUAAACCUUCUGCCGCAGCGCGCGCGCCAGCCCCGGGCACCAGCGAGCCGCGGGCUCUGCCAGCAGCCCCGCGAUCGGCACGCCGCGGAGAGGUGCCAAAUCUCAGCCAGCCCGUGCCAAUUUGGAGAGAAAGGGGCGAGGGAGCUGCACACAAAGAGCGGUUUAUAGCCCGGCCGGGCACCUGACACUGGGAGGAGGGAGGGCUGGGACGUGCUUAGCCCUGAUAAUCCCUGGGUUGAGUUUAAUAUAUAUAUAUAUAUAUUUAAUCAAAAGCACAGCAACAGCUGGGGCUGAGGCUUUCCAGGAGAUGAACUCAUGAACAACUGUUCAAAAUAACUUUAUUCGUACUGCUAUUAGAUCAGCCCACUGGGGAGCAACCAAUUAUUUUUGAUUACUCGAGGCAGAUAAGGCUGGGGUAGAGCCGAGAACCACGUGCUGCAAGGGAGAGGGGCUGGAGGGAGGCACCUCCUGGUUCGCACACGCUGGCUGUGCUGCUCCAUGGCUCAGCCCCUGUGAGAGCCCCCAGCACCCAUGUGAGCCCCCAGUGCCCUUGUGAGCCCCCUCAGCACAGUGGGUUUGAGGGUUUUGCACAGGGCUUUGCAGGCAUGCAUGGAGUGGGCACGAAGGAGGCAGGUGUGUGCCACAGGCAGGCUGGUGGGGAUGUUUGCAGGCAGGUGUGUGCUGUUUCCACCUAAAAACCAAUUAACGGUGAUGCUGCCGAGCUCAUUAGCCUGCCUGUGGCUGGUCCAUCCAUCUUGUUUGCCAGCCCCCAGCAUGGAGUCAGCCCAGGGGAGCACAGGGGCUGAGCAGGACAGGUCCCAUCCCAACAUCUGAGACGAGCCGUGCCUGGUCUCAGCGCAGCAGUGCCGGCAGGAGUCAGCAUGGGCAAGGAAACGAGAAACUUCCAAGUGAUUUACCACCCUCUGCUUGCACCAAAUCCAUUUGCAUGAUUUUGCUGUGCUUGGUCGCUUGCCCUGCCUUCAUCCCUCGGGCACUCGGGGUUAAAGUGUGUUCAGUCAGCUGAGGCCAGUGCCGGCCAUUUCUGCUUUCCAGCAUGACAUCAAGCAAACCUGAGCGUGCGAGCUGUUAGCCAGCAGAAUGGUCUCCCAGGGGAAGGAAAGGUGGAAGCUGAAACGCUGAAAACUGGGCUGCAGGGAACAGCCUGCACUGGCCAGGAGACAGACUGCAUGAUCUAAUAGGUCUUUUCCAUUUCUCGCUCCUGUGAUUCAAGAAGUCCUGUCACUAGGGAUUUUUUAAAAAUAGACUGGAUGAAACACAAGACGGUGGAUGGACAGAUCGGUCCUGCCUUGGCCGGGGGACAGAUCUCCACGAAUGGAAGGUCUCAGUCUGGAACUGAUUUGACUCCAGUCACCAGAGCCGCUGCUACCAGGGAUUUUGUAAGAUUCUGCAAGGCCUUUAAUCUCUUCCCCUACAAAUAGCAAACCAGGAGGGAGGACAGGAAGAACAAGCAUUUUCAGGCUCCUGGCUCUACGAUGGCAGAAAGCAGACCUCUGAACGCUCGUUCCUCUGAGAGCUUCCAGUGCAAACCCCGUGCAAGUCACAGCAACAAAAGUGCUUGUGAGCAAAACCAACGCGAGCCCUCCUGAAUGACCUCCGCUCCUGGGGAUCAGAGGGCAGCAAGUGUCGGGGCCCUGGCUCCCAAGCUGUUGCUAAUUACUGAAAGCAUCUCUAACAAAGCAGGAAGCUCCCCAUUAGAACCAGGAGCCUUAUUUGCAUGUAGUACCAAGCAUUCUGUGCUUUUGGAGGUGGCCUUUCAAGAUUUGUUUUUUUUUUAUUUAUUUUGUUUUGUGUUUUUUAAUUAUUAUUAUUGUUUUUUCCUCCUGAAGAGGAUGCGGGAAGGACAUGUGUAAGGCUGCCGAACUAACGCAGCCUAGGCAGGGAGGCAGAGGGGAAGUUUGCGUUGCGUUAAGCAGGUUCCUCGGUGGAGAUGAGGCACGGCUGAAUUUAUAGCAACCCUCAGAAGAAAAUGAUAAAUGGAAGCUGUAAUUUUUAUCAGGGAGGGGGGCAGAUCAUGGGUGAGGGAACAAAAUAAUAAAAAAAGCAUAAAUUAGAAGCGCGGCUUGACAGCUGGGAGCCGAAAGCGGUUGGCUCGUAUAUAAUAUGCGUUUCUUGUGGAACAUGAUCCAGCACAGCGCAUGGAAAUUACCUGCAAAAAGACUUUCUAUUAAGUCAUAUUACAGUGAACUCUCUCUACAAGGGCUCCGAGGACGGGUGCCCCGAGAGGCGCUGCUGGUCCUUUGCUUCCUACUGCUCCUGACCCGCGUCCUACAACAACCGCCACCCUCGGCUGGCCCGCGCGGCACUGCUCCGGUUUGGCACGUCCAUAUAUUUAAAAUAGACAGAAUGAAAGUCAUAGUGCAGGGCCAGCGCACCUUUUAAGCCCAAUACAAGCCCAGCGGGGCACCCUGUGUUUCUCCUCUCUCUCCUUAGGAGAGGUUUGGAUGGUUUGGGGGCAGCUGCUUGUUCUUGCACCCAUCCUGCACAGCUGGGCACUGGUCCCUGUCCUAUUCCAAGUGCCCUGGGCUAUGGGGCAAUGCGCUGCCUCUCGGAGGCACUGUUUUUUAACCAGGAAAAGAUACAAUGUGCCAUGAAGCAGCACUGUGGAUGGCUCCAGGUCCCUCCAUCACCAGGAGAGUGGAGGAAUAUCAUUGCCAGGACAUGGGAACAUCACUGCUGGGACACAGGAACAUCACAGCCAGGUGCGCGGCUCAGAGGACGUGGUGCAUGCCCCUGCCCAUCCCAGUGCCAGCAGGAGUUUGGCUGCUCACAGACCUCUCACAUCUGGGUGCUGCUGGGAUGUGCACAACCUUCAGCAAAGUCAUCUGCAAAGCCUUGCCUCGGAGAGAAGCGUUAAACCAGGACAGCUCCUCUGUGCAGGGAGGGUGGCAGGGGGCAGCCUGGAGGAAGGCAGGAACCAGACACGUUGGGGGACCCACAGGAGAAACGGCAAUGGCACAGAAAGAGGCUGCACACGAGUGGGAAGGGGCCGAGCAUCUUUCCAUGACAUAUUUCCACCCUCCGCAUGUUCUCAAGGAGCAGCAGCCUCACAGCACCCCAGACUUCCCAAGUCUUGUCCUGACGGCCAAGUUUGUCUCUAAACCUGACCGCUUUCUUUGGGUUUGAGUCCAUCUACCGAUCCCUUUUUGAUGCCAGAAGUGCUUCCCUGAGCCAAAUUUCCCUGGUAAUUGUCCUUUGGAUUAGUUUGGAAAAUUACAUAAGCCCUGGGUUAGAGCUGGCUGCGUCUCUCAUCCGAGUGCCUAAGGCUUCAUGGGGCAAAGACUAAAGAGCUGUGAAAUGCAGAGAUAUAACAGAUGUUGACAUGUAGUGAAAAUACUAGACGCAGGAGCCUAAGAUAAUAAAUCUGAAAAAUUAACACGUAGGAGAACGAAAAAAGGAGCAAUAUGUUUUGGUAAUCAUUCUGAACUGCUGAACCCUUCUCCUGCAGUUCAAAAAUCUCUGGUAUUAAGCAGAUGUCAUUCAACCAAUGAUUAACACAUUACCGAAUUUCUCCAGUCGUUUAAUAAAAGUUUUACAUAACAUGCAGGUAAUUGCUUCCAAAUGUCAAGGUAACAAUGCGGGCUUCUAUGGAUGGCAUUGUUUCCAGCGUCAGGUGAAAACCCCUCUUGGUGCCGUGCUAUCAGGCGAGGUCCCACUGCGAAGACCCCGCGCCUGGCCAGCUGCUUUUCCCGUCGCUCCUCCUAAAGCAGAAACAAAGAAACAGUCGGGGAAGAUUAAAAGCCUUCGAUCUGGUAAUGUUUCUUCCCUUUGAAUGUCUGUGCAGGCAGCAAACAGGCCUCAUGCUCCAAAAAUGGGCCACAGGCAUAUGUCUUCUCCGUGAUUUUAUUAUUUUUUUUCCUUUUCUUGCUAGAUUUCAUUGCUGCUGGAUGCAGGUAGGUAGUGGAGAAGAGCAGGGUGCAUGGAUGUCCUGGCAGCAGGGAUGGGUGAUGCUUCUAGGCAGCCCACAGGCUCGCAGCCACCCAGCCCAUUUCUGCAGGAGCUCUCUCCCCAGCCCUGAGCCUACCCCGAGCUCAAAGCCUAAAUUUAUCCACCGUGGGAGCAGGAAAAUGUUCAUCCCAACCAGGCUGUUUUCUGGAGAGCUGUCCCCAUGUACAGCUGGGGGAUUCAGCGCCACGGCAGGGUCUCGCUUGUUAUUUCAGCAUCACUCACAGCGAGGUGUGAGAGUGAUGGAUGCCCAGGGAUGGGGGAGCCUGACAGGCUGCAAACUGUGUGCAGACUCUGCGAAUUGCUGGCCGGUGGCUUUCCAGGCUGCAAAUUAACUUCCCAAAUUACAGCUGGAGACCAGGAUACUGCUAAAACAACCGAUCUGUCGUGACACGUAUCCUGGGUUUGUCAGAGGCCUGUGUAACUCUGUUGAGAACAGCUAGGGGUGGCUGUCCAAAGUGCAUGUCGAUGCCACAGCUUUGAUGUGACGCUUGCUUUUAGGAAACUUUUAAGUGAUUUGUCCUGCCAUGGCAGGUGGCACACGAUCGUUCUGCUAACCAGUGUCUGCACUACAGAUCUCUCUGCUGCUGAGAUAGGUAGGCCUGAGAAAGCAGGAUUGUCUCUGGUCGUGUGAGCAGAGGAGUCCUGUCCCAGGUGCAGACGCUGUCGGUGCAGUGCUCUGUGCCAGACCUGCGGGAAUAGGGCCACUUAUCUCCAUCUCUACAUACUUCAGCUGCCCAGCUGCUCCUCCAGCAGGCUCAGGUGUCCUGCGGCCCCCCGAGCACCUCGCAAGGCACAGCUCACCAGAAGGCAACCCCCCUUUGCCCACCCCACCCCACGGCCUUCAUCUGAUCUAACUCAUCCCAGCCCACAGCCCCCGACCUCUGGGGAGCAAGGACAGGCCAGGUGGUCCCAGCGAUGGGAGCAGGACAGGAAGAAGGAGGCAAAGGUAGGGUCGAGCUGAAGGAAAGGGCUGGUUUGCUGCCCUGACCCUCUGGGGGUGCUGGUAUUGCUGACACGGGCACGAGAUGGGCGCAGUGCAGCCCCUACCUGGCUGCAGAGCGGCGUUGGCUUUUCUGCCAGCCAUCGGGGAGCAGGGUGGGAAGGCCUGGCAGGAGGUCUUUACAUCUCCCGAUGUCUCUGUACUGAAAAGCAAUACCUGCUGAGAUUAAACUGCUUGGCCUCCUUCCCCUGGUCUCCAAGGCAAACAUAGACGGUUCUAUUCAUACCCACAAGAAAUACAUAUUUCAGCAUUUGGUUCUUUUUUUGUGUGCUUUGUUUUAUCUAGCGCCACGGAGCUUGGAUGUCUUUUUCAACUCAUAUUGUGCUUUGGAUGCGGCCUCUCGUAUUCAGCCCUCUUGCUGCCUUCAUAAAGAAUAACAGCAGCAGUUGUUUUUCCCCCUGCAGCAUGGGCUGCUGUAAACCAAAGGGAACCUUCUUGCUGAAAGGGGACAGAGCGGCCAGGACGCUGCCAUGGCCAUUUCCACUGCUGCCCUGCAGCCCAGGCAGUUUGGCUUUCCCAAAUCUGCAUGGAAAGCAACAAAUUGUCCUGUAAAAAAUCUUUUCUUGAUUUCUGUUUGUCUAAGGAGACAGGCCUAGCUUGUAAACUUGGGACUGACAUUUCCUCCUCCUCAAAUGGGCAGCCAAGUCCACGAUAGACGCCGUGGCACUGACAUCUCACAGGGGUCUUCGGAUUCUGCCCCUCUCCCUCCCUAAAUACACACUUGAAGCCUCCUUUCCUGGCUGUGAGAAGUCCAUCUGGGGGCUUACCUAAGCGCCCAUUUUGUGCAACCCCUCUGCAGCUGUCAGAAAGCAGAAAACCACGCAAGGCCAUUUCUGCUGAUCUUCCAGCUGAGAAGGGACAAGAGCUGCGGGCCCAAGUGCCAGCACUGAGUCACACCGUCCUUCCCCCUUCGUCCUGCUGCUGUGGUGGUUUCCAGUGACCAUCAGUGAUGCUGGGAGCAAGAACAUCUUGUGGCAAUAUGUUGCCUUUGAACUUUGGGCUGGGAAUUACGGGUUUUAAGGCAUUUGAAAAUUGUGUCUGAAAUCUGUGACUCGUCUCAUGCCCUGACCUUAGAGAAGGGACAUUUUGGGGUGGGGUGGCCACGUGAGUGAACCAGAGCAGCUGCAUGGGACCCGCAUCACUGUCUGGGGACAGCUCCUGGGCUCCAUGCCCGAAAAUGCCCACCCCAGCUCCAGCUCCCACCAGCUGUCAGUAGGGUCAGUUGAUGCCGAUGCACCCAAUGUCUGAGACAGCUGAAGGUCUGGUUCUUCGUGCCCAGGUGAGCACCCAAACCCCUUUUUUUUUCAGAUACACCCACUUCUGUUUGUCUGGGGCUGCAUGCCUGCACAAAAGUGUGUCCAAGGCUGCUCUGAUUCUUGCCACCUGCUUGCACAGGGCCAGCUGAGGGAUGGCUGGUGCCAUUCCCACCAACAGGCUGCCAGUCCUGCCCUCCGGGCAGCCAGGGAGGAGGCAGAUGGGGCAAUGGCGCUCCGACCCCAUGUGUCUCAGCUGUGCAGAGCAUCGAAGACAAAUGAACUGCAGGAAGCAUUUCCUCUGCCGAAGGCUCGCGCUCGGGAGGUUUCUGUUCACAGCGUAGGUCAAGAGUUGAAAAACGAAGAAGAAAGGAAAACAGAUAGGAAGAUCCAUCUUCCCCUGUAAAAUCCCCAGAGCAGGGGGCACUGGGAAGUCAUUUUUCACCGAGCUGAGAGCUGUUUCUGGCCCUUUAGCAGACAUUCUCUGCUCAAACCUCAUGUUUUGGGACAUCCUCAUGGGUGUGGGAAGAGCUGGCUCUGGGGUGAACAUGGUGACUAGAGCAGCUCAGGUCAAGCAAGACUGGUCGGGUCCAGCCCCAAAAUGGGCCUUAUAAAACGUUCCUUGUGGCGCCUUGGGAUGAGGGAGGAAUUUUCCCUGCAGGAGGAUUGUCCUGGGCUCGCCAGGUGCAGGACACUUUGCACCUUUCUCUGCACCGUGCUGCUGUGGGAUUUGGGGCACCUUGGGGCCACGGCCCCACACACAAGCUGGCAGUGGCUCAGUUCCUUGACGUGCAAACAUUUUAAACCACCUCGGGCUGAAAUGCAAGGAGAAAUUAGGGGCUUGGAUUCGUCAGCAUUAAUGCACAGGUUAAGAGGGACAGCUUUUAACAGGGAAAAAGCUCCACAACAAGAGGAAGGAGAAUUUCAGUAUGGUUGAAGAAAAUCUAAAUAAAAUUCCUUUCUGGAAGGAAUUCAAGAAAAUUA